rnacentral:rRNA from 1 species
UAGGGAAUAUUAGAAAUGGACGAAAGUCUGAUCUAGCGACACCGCGUGUGCGAAGAAGGCCUUCGGGUUGUAAAGCACUUUUUGGAAGGAUUAGGAAGGAAUGUACUUCCAGAAUAAGCCACGGCUAACUACGUGCCAGCAGCCGCGGUAAUACGUAGGUGGCGAGCGUUAUCCGGAUUUACUGGGCGUAAAGCGUGUGUAGGCGGUUUGAUAAGUUGGAUGUGAAAGCUCCUGGCUCAACUGGGAGAGGCCGUUCUAAACUACAGAACUAGAGGAUGGUAGAGGGAGGUGGAAUUCCAGGUGUAGCGGUGGAAUGCGCAGAUAUCUGGAGGAACACCAGUGGCGAAGGCGGCCUCCUGGACCAUUCCUGACACUCAGACGCGAAAGCUAGGGUAGCAAACG